rnacentral:sRNA from 1 species
CCCUUCUGCUCUGGUAGAGGAAAGCUGAGUGUAGGGCUGAUGUUACAGAGGAUGUAGUCCUCCUAUGUCUUCCUGGAUUUUUCUCCCUGGAUCCCAGAGAAAUAGCAUUCAAGCCCAGCUUGCUCACUCCCAUUUGCAUCUGGAUCCCAGAGAAGUAGCAUUCAAACCCAGCUUGUUCACUCCCAUUUGCAACUCUUCUCUGCUGCAGGCAGUUGGCUGGGAUAACAUGGCAUUCAUCUUCCUCAAUCGCUUUUUGGAUCUGACCGAUGCAAUCGAGGAAGGGACUCUAGAUGGCCUUGACCACUCUGAUUUUCAGGAUACAGAUAUUCCCUUUGAGGUGCCACUCCCAGCUAAGCAGCAUGUACCGGAGGCUGAGAGAGAAGAGGUUCGAGACUGGGUGCUUACAGUCUCCAUGGACCAGCGGCUGGAGCAGGUUCUGCCUCGGGAUGAGCGUGGCGCCUAUGAGGCCUCCCUAGUGGCAGCGAGCACUGGGGUUCGAGCCCUGCCCUGCCUUAUUACAGGAUACCCCAUUCUGAGGAACAAAAUUGAAUUUAAGCGGCCAGGGAAGGCUGCUAACAAGGACAACUGGAAUAAAUUCCUUAUGGCC